GCAACCCAAUCUACUUCCCUCCCAAAUGCUCUCAACUUGCAGACAUUAUCAAAUAUACACACACAUACACAGAUCAAAGAAGCCAUCCUGAUCAUCUCCCUUCACUCUCUCUCGAGCCCUACUGCCAGCACACACAAUCAACAUAGCCCCCCCCUGCUCUCCUAUGAUGCUUCUGGUCGAUGACGACCGGAGCCGGGUAACCGCCGGCUGUCGACGGCGUACCUGCCGACAACACCCUCUCACACUCCUGUUAAUCUUCUCCAGCGAGAGUCUUUGAGCGGCGGAGGUGGAAAGGUUUACUGGUACAGAGAUGAAGAGGCGAGGUAGGGUGGUGACGACCACCUUUUCCGGCGACGGUCCGCCAUUGGCGGCGGAAGUGACGGUGGCACUACGUUCCUUCGACAAGUUUAACCGUGGCUGAUGAUGGUUCGGAACCUGCCCGCAUCCUCACCGGAGAUCGUAGGCAUUGUCGGAGUCGGAGACGUUCGGAUGUUACUGUCUCGUUUGUUUUCUUUAAUGAAUGAGGUGAUAUGAACAUGUUGGGACUCGGGAUUCACGUCGGAGUUUGGCUCGGUUCGUUCGGGUAAACGUUCCCAUUCGUUUGGUUUUCCAAACCCUUUCAUCGUGCGUUAUUCUACAAGGCAUCACAAGCGCAACCACUUAUCUCAAGACUUCGUCAAUUCCACUCUUAGUUUUCGUGGAACUCUACGCAAAACAGUCGUUAGAUAUCUUGGAUGUGGGAACCUGCUGUCUGGCGUAGCUGGAGUGGUCAUGGGUCGGCUGGAAGGUUUCAUGUGUUUGAAUUAUUGAUACUAUACAUUGGUUUCGAAACGGUUUAACUAUGGUUUAUUAAUUGCUUCCGCUGAACAUGUUGGUUUCCAUUUAAACUUACGGAUGGCACUUUUUAUUAAUA